rnacentral:ribozyme from 1 species
AGCAAUACCUCGCUGAUACGAGGGUAGAUCCGAAGCCUCUAGAAAAUUAACAUAGGCUCUCCACCUCCUACUCUACUCAAUACGUUCCCGUCGUACAGAAUGGUAACAUGUCUAUCAAUUAUCCAAGCUUGGGUAUACGGGGAAACCCAAUCCCUUGCGAGGAUGGAUUGCAUGGUAAUAUUGAGAGAG